rnacentral:rRNA from 1 species
UACGUAGGGUGCAAGCGUUGUCCGGAAUUAUUGGGCGUAAAGAGCUCGUAGGCGGUCUGUCGCGUCGGCUGUGAAAACCUGGGGCUCAACUCCGGGCCUGCAGCCGAUACGGGCAGACUAGAAUUCGGUAGGGGAGACUGGAAUUCCUGGUGUAGCGGUGAAAUGCGCAGAUAUCAGGAGGAACACCGGUGGCGAAAGCGGGUCUCUGGGCCGAUAUUGACGCUGAGGAGCGAAAGCGUGGGGAGCGAACAGG